rnacentral:tRNA from 20 species
GGAGAGGUGGUCGAGUGGUUGAUGGCUCUGGUCUUGAAAACCAGCAUGUCCGCAAGGGCAUCGUGGGUUCGAAUCCCACCCUCUCCG